rnacentral:rRNA from 1 species
GACGAACGCUGGCGGUGUGCCUAAUACAUGCAAGUCGAACGAGAGCGCACUGUGCUUGCGCUGGUAAGGCUGGCGGCUGACGGGUGAGUGACACGUGGAUCACCUUCUCCUCAGUGGGGGGUAACAUCGGGAGACGGCUGCUAACACCGCCUCAGUCUUCGUGCCGCAUGGCGCGAGGGGGAAACGAGCCGCGCGCGUCUGAUUAUGGAGAGACCCGCGUAGCAUUAGCGCGUGGGCGAGGUCACGGCUCACCAAGGCCGCGAUGCGUAGCUGGUCUGAGAGGAUGAUCAGCCACACUGGAACUGAGACACGGUCCAGACUCCUACGGGAGGCAGCAGUGGGGAAUAUUGGACAAUGGGCGCAAGCCUGAUCCAGCCAUACCGCGUGGGUGAAGAAGGCCUUCGGGUUGUAAAGCCCUUUUGUUGGGAAAGAAAAGCAGCAGGUUAAUCCCCCGCUGUUCUGACGGUACCCAAAGAAUAAGCACCGGCUAACUUCGUG